rnacentral:lncRNA from 1 species
UGCAGAAAUCAAGACAGUUGUCGAGCGGCCUCCUUUGGCCCUCACUCCUGUGUCCUUCCCAGAGGGACAAGCGAGUCGUGGUUUCACCUCUGGUCUUCGGAGCUGGACGACAAGGUCCCAGAGUCACCUCAGGAGCGAGUCGCAGCCUUGUUUCUCCUCAGAUCCCUCUAGAAGGGCGCCGCUGGGGCAUCACGCCGUCAGGGGGUGAAUCUCGUCGUCACAGCUCUUAGGGCUGUUCCGCGGGUGCUGUGAGGACCGGCUGCAGAGCACAGAGCAGAGGGCCUGGCGGGCAGGGGGCCGGUGGUGGGCGAGCCUCCAGCACCACUGUCCCCGGCAUGGGGCCCCUGCGCCCUCCCAUCCACGAGUGGAGCGGGGGGCUCUUCCCAGACACCCUGGCCCUGGCCGCCCCUGCGUCAGCCCCUCCCAGGUUUCCGUGGCCCCCUCAGCUAGCGAGCACUGACUGUGUGCAUCUCUUCCCAACUUGAGGUAGAGUGGGGGGCACACACGGCCCCAGAGGCCCCAGAGGCUGCGGGUGAGCCCCAAGGGAAGCAGACGCUGUCCCCUCGUCCUGUCUACCUUGGGUGGAACAGGAGGGCCUUGGCUGUGAGCACGGGUUACAAGAUCAAAAUCACAGGGCUGCCUUCACAGUGUGUAAACCACGGUCAGGGGCUUGGUUUGGGCCUCAGUUUCCACAUCUGUGAAAUGGGGAGGAGAGAGCUAAUUUGCAUGUUAAAGCAAUGCGAGAUGUGGUUUGAUGAGCACUUUGUAGCACAUAGUAGGUCCUCAAAUUUGCUGUCAGACUGUCUGCCACAGAGCCGGGGGCCCUUGUUGGGCCCAGGCACUGGAGGCACGCGGGCCCUCUUGAGGCUCCACCUGGGGAGGCCCAGGCUUGUCUCCAGGGAGCAAAGCGGAUACUGACGCAGCCCCCUCCGCCCCAGCCUGGGAACCACAGCAUUCUGGGACGUGGGGACUGCGCCAGGACGGGCCGCCAGCUCCCUCUGCUUCUCGUUAGGACUUGUCACCUCCCCCGCCCGGCCCCUCCCUGUUGGGCAGCAGCACUCCUCACCGUCCUUCUGGGACCAUCACGGCCCAGAAAGUCCUGUCAGCUCAGCAGGGUCAAGCCAGGGAAGCUGCGCCUUCCAGAAAGGAGGGGGAAGAGGCCGAGCCUGGACUCUGGACCCGUGAGCCAGGCCCGAGCUGAGCCGCAGAUGCUGUCCAGCCACCUGAACCAGGUGGCCUGUGAGCCUUCCAUCUGUGAGCAGAGACCGGGUCAGAAGUCUCUCCCGCAGGCAGGCGUGCCCGCUGCACUGCGUGUUCGAGACCAGCCAUGACCAUCCUCGGAGCUUCACGGGAAGCGCGUGCCGGGACCACUUUCCUCAGAGGAGCUGUGUGGACCUGCUCCUCGGCCUGCCUGUCGCACAUCCUUACAGCCCUCAGGGACAGAUAUUAUUAUCCCCAUCUUACAGGUGCCGGCGCCAUGCCGAGUAAUUUACCUGCUUCCUCUCUCAAUCCACGUAACCACCCCACGAGAUGGACACAUUGUUAUCCCAUUUCACAGAUAAGAAAGUUGAGGCCCAGAGAGCGAAGGAAACAUACACGAAGGCCUUGCCGGCCCCUGGACUGGGGCGACCCGUGGUUUGUGGAGGUCUUCGCCUGCAUGGUCCUUUGUCAGGAGGUCAGCUCAGAGCUCAGCCCUGCAGGUGGUAUGUCCCCCGUCCUGCGAGUGCAUUUGCAUGUGGUGAGGGAUAUGCUGUGCCCAAGCUUUGCCCCCCAGAGACCCAGAGGUAUCCCACCAAGGCCAAAGGGACGCUGUCCCCAGCCCUGCCGAGGCCAGGAACUCCAGGGAAGCUGUCGGCCGCAGAGCAUCAAGGAGCAGUGCAGGUCGUUUGGAGGGUUCGUCUUCUGAACCAGGAGCAGGGGCGCGGCUGCUCUGGGGUGUCCCCUCUGAGCUGGACACUCAGACGUGUGAUGCAUUACGUCACAUCACAGGCUGGCUACCUCUAGAUCGUGUCGUUCAUAUUCGAGGUCAGAGAGUUUUUGUAUGCCGGUGACUGUCACUUCCCGGGAAAUGGCGGUAAAGCGUCUUGAGGAAUGGGAAGCGUUUUCUAACUUCACCAACACACGCUUCAGGCUAGAAGCGGGGAGGUCAGGCAAUUGUUGUCGCAGCUCUGUGAGAUGCAGAUUAAAAGCUCCAUUGUACAGAUAGGGAAACUGAGGCUCAGAGAGUUUACCAAGCUUGACAGAACCAGGAUUUGGACCCAGGUCUUACCAGAGGAGUCUAUGCUCCUUCUCUGCGCCAAGCCUUCCUCCAUGGCCUCGUGUCACGGCCUGGGGAGAGGGGCCACAGUGAGAAAUCUAGAAACAAAACGAAAGACGUUCUUAAGACGUCAGACCAGGUGUGUGCGUCUGCCUCCCUCUCUGUUCCCGGUCCCACUGAAAUGACAGCAGAGAGGCACAAGGAGAAAAACUCAAAAAGCUGUUCAGGCCUGAACAGGGCCUACAAACCACUGAAGCUCCUGGAAAGUUUCUGGGGGACAAAUAGCUGGGAGCAGAGGGGGCCCCAGCUGAUGGAACUGGCUAAAGGAAGACUCGAGACGCUAGGGGAACCACCUGCAGGGCCGCCCAGGGUUUGCGGGUGUGGAGCGUGCGGUGAGAAGAGGCAGAGAGAACAGGAGCUGAGCUUGAGUCCUAUUUGCAGGUGAGCCGAGCCUGGUGGCGGAGAACGGCUAUCUAGUCCUCUGUAGACGCC